rnacentral:misc_RNA from 1 species
CACAGUUGUCCUGUUCUACAUAGCCA